GGAUGGGCUUGGCGGUCCCAGAGUUGAUGCGAGCUGUGAGGAGUUUGCAGUAUCUCCUUUACAAGGCUGGACUGUCCUAUAUUUUGCUGUUGAACUGGAAACCAUCUGACCCUGUAUACACACUUGACUGACAUCUUGGAUGCUUCAAUUUUUCAGGGUGGAGGGAAGAAUGCAAGCUGGAAACAAGAAUGCAAGAGGGGAACAGAGUAUCUGAAGCCAGCUCUGCACUGACAGGCUGACAGCAGCGAGCCCGAUGUGGGAUUCAAACUCACCAACUGUG